GGGCAUAAGAGAUGCCUGGAAUGAAUCCAUUCCAGCCACAGCACUUGGGGAGCAGAAUCAGGUCACCUCCACCAUGGCCUGGACCCCUCUCCUCCUAGGCCUUCUUGCUCACUUCACAGCUUCUUUGGCUUCCUAUGUGCUGACUCAGCCUCCAUCUGUGUCAGUGGCCCUGGGACAGACAGCCCAGGUCACCUGUGGGGGAAACAACAUUGGAAAUAAAAAUGUUUACUGGUACCAGCAGAAGUCAGGCCAGAGUCCUGUGCUGAUCAUCUAUUUUAGCAGCAGCCGGCCCUCAGGGAUCCCUGAGCGAUUCUCAGGCACCAACUCUGGGAACACUGCCACCCUAACCAUCAGUGGGGCCCAGGCCGAGGACGAGGCUGACUAUUACUGUCAGUCCUAUGAUAGCAGUGAUUAUGGGAUACUGAGGCACAGCCCCUAUGACCUGCUGCAAGAGAUCACAGCCAAAAACAGACAUUUACAGCACUGUGAUGGCUUUGGAAAUGCCAUGAGCUAUUCCUAG